rnacentral:lncRNA from 1 species
UUUUCCACAAUGUUCUAUUUUUAGACAUGGCGGCCAUCUUGAUUUUUUGGGCGGGGUCAUCGGAUACCUUUUUUAAACUACAUACCCUAAGGAUGAUUAUGGCCAUAUUUGCUUUAAUUUUGCCAUUAGUUUCAGAUUUUCUGAAAGUUAUCGACGACGACGGAUGCCAAGUGAUGAAAAAAGCUCACUUAACCCUCUGGUCCAGGUGAGCUAAAAAGGCAAAACGGACAAAAAGCAAAUGACAAAAAGCAAAAGUGUCGGACAAAAAGCAAAAUUAUCGGAC